rnacentral:rRNA from 1 species
UACGCAGGGUGCAAGCGUUGUCCGGAAUUACUGGGCGUAAAGGGCGCGUAGGCGGUCUCGCAAGUCCCGUGUGAAAUCCCUCGGCUCAACUGAGGAACUGCACGGGAAACUGCUUGGCUUGAGUUCGGGAGAGGGAAGCGGAAUUCCGGGUGUAGCGGUGAAAUGCGUAGAUAUCCGGAGGAACACCGGUGGCGAAGGCGGCUUCCUGGACCGACACUGACGCUGAGGCGCGAAAGCUAGGGGAGCAAACGGG